CUACUGCCUAUGCACUCCUUGAAGGCAGGAAAAGCCUCUUUCUCAUCUGUGGCCUGGAGGGUGAUAUGGAUUCUUGAAGGCUCUGCCGCUGGGACACGAUCUCUGUAAGGUCCUACCAAAUUGGAAAGACUAUUCCAGGGAUGGAUGAGCCUUGAUGAGUGUUAAUAACUUCUUACGGUAAUUUAUUUUUCAGCUCCCCGAGACCAUCUAACAAGGUUGGAAGGGUGUGCAUUGGUAAGGUGAGUGCCCAACCCAAACCGGAGAGGAGACUGGCAAGGACUGGCUUCGUGCCAGGGCAUCCCCUGAAGCUGAGGAUGCAGGCUCAGCAGGAGGCAUAGUUGUGGUUUUCCGCACGUGCCUCAGCUGGAGGAACUAGAGGAAACAAACCAACACCAGAGGGGCGAGGUUAUCUUGGGCAACACCUUCCUCGCCUCUCCCCUGGGCCAGAAGAACUCGGCGGGGGUGGUUUCCUUUUUUUUUUUUUUUUUGGUGCCUCCUGCAGGCCUGGAACCUUAGUUGUCGGAGUCUUAGUUUCCCCGGGUUGCUGGAGGGAAGGCUUUAAGAGGGGGACCGAGGCUGGCAGAUUGUAAACAGGCAGCGGAGGUUCGGGGAGCGGCGCCGGCUCACGGCUGUCAUCGCGGGAGGACGCGGAGGACGAGCGGAACGAGUAGGGCGGCGAGCCCUGCCUCACCUGCGGGGUGGGGGGUGGGAAAUAAAGUUUCCUGUGGACAACUAGCCAGACCAGUUCCUGACUUGGGAAACGUCAUCUCAAAGGAGCACUUCUCCCCUGCCUUCCCAAGAAGUGAAGUCUAUGAGAAGCCGAUACUGCUAGAGAGUGCUUUGUAAUGACCAGAAGAGUUCCAGCAGUGCUUGUGCCUUCUCUCCUGCAUCUGACUAAAUGAAGGCACUUUCUCUAUUCCCAGAACUGCUUUCUUGAAGGACCUUGUCUCUUUGGUGUUAGAAUAUUCAUGAAAUCUUCCCCUCACCCAGUUCAGGACGCUUGAG
rnacentral:lncRNA from 1 species